rnacentral:rRNA from 1 species
AUACGGAGGGUGCAAGCGUUAUUCGGAAUCACUGGGCGUAAAGGGUGCGUAGGCGGUUUGAUAAGUCUGAUGUGAAAUCCUAUGGCUCAACCAUAGAACUGCAUUGGAAACUGUCAGACUAGAAUACUGAAGGGGCAGAUGGAAUUAGUGCUGUAGGGGUAACAUCCGUAGAUAUCACUAGGAAUACCGAAAGCGAAAGCGAUCUGCUGGGAAGUUAUUGACGCUGAGGCACGAAAGCGUGGGGAGCAAACGGGAUUAGAAACCCUAGUAGUCC